AGAGUUUGAUCCUGGCUCAGGAUGAACGCUGGCGGUAUGCUUAACACAUGCAAGUCGAACGGAGUAGCAAUACUUAGUGGCGGACGGGUGAGUAACGCGUAAGAAUCUAGCUUCAGGUUCGGGACAACAGUUGGAAACGAUUGCUAAUACCGGAUGUGCCUAAGGGUGAAAGGCUUGCUGCCUGAAGAAGAGCUUGCGUCCGAUUAGCUAGUUGGUGGGGUAAAAGCUUACCAAGGCAUCGAUCGGUAGCUGGUCUGAGAGGAUGACCAGCCACACUGGGACUGAGACAAGGCCCAGACUCCUACGGGAGGCAGCAGUGGGGAAUUUUCCGCAAUGGGCGAAAGCCUGACGGAGCAAUACCGCGUGAGGGAAGAAGGCUCUUGGGUUGUAAACCUCUUUUCUCAGGGAAUAAAAAAAUGAAGGUACCUGAG
rnacentral:rRNA from 1 species